rnacentral:rRNA from 1 species
AUUGAACGCUGGCGGCAGGCUUAACACAUGCAAGUCGAGCGGGGGAAGGUAGCUUGCUACCGGACCUAGCGGCGGACGGGUGAGUAAUGCUUAGGAAUCUGCCUAUUAGUGGGGGACAACAUCUCGAAAGGGAUGCUAAUACCGCAUACGUCCUACGGGAGAAAGCAGGGGAUCUUCGGACCUUGCGCUUAUAGACUAGCCUCAGUCGGAUUAGCUAGUUGGUGGGGUAAAGGCCGACCAAGGCGACGAUCUGUAGCGGGUCUGAGAGGAUGAUCCGCCACACUGGGACUGAGACACGGCCCAGAAUCCUACGGGAGGCAGCAGUGGGGAAUAUUGGACAAUGGGGGGAACCCUGACCCAGCCAUGCCGCGUGUGUGAAGAAGGCCUUAUGGUUGUAAAGCACUUUAAGCGAGGAGGAGGCUACUCUAGUUAAUACCUAGGGAUAGUGGACGUUACUCGCAGAAUAAGCACCGGCUAACUCUGUGCCAGCAGCCGCCGUAA